rnacentral:misc_RNA from 1 species
GAUGAAGAACGCAGUGAAAUGCGAUAAGUAAUGCGAAUUGCAGAAUCCGUGAGUCAUCGAAUCUUUGAACGCACAUUGCGCCCCUUGGUUAUUCCGAAGGGCAUGCCUGUUCGAGCGUCAUUAUCACCCCUCAAGCCCUGGCUUGGUGUUGGACUUUAGUUAUAGCUUUGCCUAUCAACUGGUCUCAAAGAUAGUGACGGCGCCCCAGAGGGAACCGGGUACGAGGAGCUUUUUACUAAGCAUGUAUCUGGGACGACUCUGGGCGACGGUCUUGUUAUACUUUUUACCUAAGUGUUGACCUCGGAUCAGGUAGGAAUACCCGCUGAACUUAAGCAUAUCAAUAAGCGGAGGA